GCUAGCAGCCAUAUCAAUCUGCUCCCACAGCUGGCAGCCUACUGAGGCUAAGCAGGUGUAAGCCUGGUCAGUACCUGGAUGGAAGACCUCCUGGAAAACCUCCUGGUUGCUGCUGGAA
rnacentral:rRNA from 1 species